rnacentral:rRNA from 1 species
ACACCGGCAGCUCUAGUGGUAGCUGUUUUUAUUGGGCCUAAAGCGUUCGUAGCCGGUUUGAUAAGUCACUGGUGAAAUCCUGUAGCUUAACUGUGGGAAUUGCUGGUGAUACUGUUGAACUUGAGGUCGGGAGAGGUUAGCGGUACUCCCAGGGUAGAGGUGAAAUUCUGUAAUCCUGGGAGGACCACCUGUGGCGAAGGCGGCGAACUGGAACGAACCUGACGGUGAGGGACGAAAGCUAGGGGCGCGAACCGGAUGAGAUACCCGGGUAGUCCUAGCCGUAAACGAUGCGGACUUGGUGUUGGGAUGGCUUUGAGCCGCUCCGGUGCCGAAGGGAAGCUGUUAAGUCCGCCGCCUGGGAAGUACGGUCGCAAGACUGAAACUUAAAGGAAUUGGCGGGG